ensembl:lncRNA
CUCUGUCCUGCUGUACUGUUGCACAGUAUGUAAUCUAAGGGAGUUCUGAGAAGGAACUGCUGUUGCUUACACUAUUGAUUGUUUUUCUGCAGCGAUAUUUUCUGCCCUUUUCCUGUAGCUUUAUGGGCUCUUGGUCACUGCUUUUGCUGCCAGGUCCCUGACGGAACACUCUUGGUUUCUCAGAUUACCAAGAGGCUUAUUUAACUUACAGAAAAGAUUUGCAUACAUUGCAGAGAGUCAGAGAUGGCAACCCAUUUCCUGGAGAAUCCCAGGGACAGAGGAGCCUGGUGGGCUGCUGUCUACGGGGUUGCACAGAGUCAGACACGACUGAAGUGAUUUAGUAGCAGCAGAGUCAGACAAAGAACUGACCUGUAUUCCACCGUUUUUUAGGAAAGGCAAGAAAGAAUGUCUUGUCCCUUUUCAGCAUGAGCAGUUUAAUUUUCCUUAUUUUAGUUUCCCUUACAAUGUGCUCCCCGUGAGAUACCCCUGGGUAUCUUCACCCUCCCUCCAAGUGCUGAUUCCAAAGUCCUAGCCAUAGUCAGACCUGUGCAGAGAACUUCCUCAAGAGGAACUUGUGGAAAGAGCUCCUGAAGGACAAGUAAAAAGUAUGAGCGACUGCUUAUCCUCUAGGAGCUUUUUACCCAUACAUAUGUCCUCAGGGGGAAUUCUCUGUGAUCAAUAGGAUCACUCAGGAUGAGGAUUAAAACCACAAACCUUGUUUAGAGAUGGUUUAAAUCGCUCUGCUGAUGUCAGCAGUCUGCUUGCAAGUGGAGCUGAACUUCAUCUCUCACCAUCCCUUUCUCAAGAGCUCUGAAGGAGCAGAGAUUUGAUCUCCAAUUGGCAGAGGGCCGAUUUCUGUGUCUUGUGGUGCACAGGACCUGCUCGAAUAUUUGGUAGGAGGCAAGGACUCAGAUCCUGCAGAGUUUUAGUUAUGGAAUUGUAGUGUGCAGCUCUGUCCAAAAGAGUGGACAGAAUGAGCAAAAUAGGUGCAUUCCUGUACAAUGUGAAUGGUCUCUUCAUCCGUCUGGACUUGAAUGUGCCCUCCCAGUCCACUAUGCUGACUCCAGCACACACACAAAAUGGGUUACUGAGCGUCGCCAGCCAGGCCACCUCACAGUUUAGAUUUGGGUUGGCUUUCUGAGCUUCCUUCGCCUCUCCUUAUUCAUGUGCAAGCCUACUGUCCUACUUCUCAUCAGCUUUGGAAAGGAACAGCAGUGGGAUCACUUCAGUGAAUCCUAAGGAGAUUCACUGGUUUACUCAGCCUCUCCCAAUCAGUCAGACAGAGCACCUUCCAGAAUGCUGAAAGGCCUGUUGUAGAUUUUCCUCUAGUAGAUUGUCAGAGUACUGAGCUACAGGAUAUAGGAUAUAGUUAAAGCUAGGAACCAAGCACCUGGGCAUCUCCUCCGGACCCCAGAACUGAUGUGUACUGGAAAGGCUAAGAGGGUAGGUCUUAUUCCGUCAUGUUUUUAUUACCAGAUAACAAUAAAUUACGAAGGUGGAAUGAAACUUCAGAGUGGAUGGGUGUGUUUACGAUAUAGAUUAUGGAGAUGCUUUAUGGAUGUAAACUAUCUCCAGACUCAUUAGAUUGUAUACCUUAAAUGUGUACUUUUUUUUUGUAUGGCAGUCAUUCCUCAUACCUCAAUGAAGGGGUUUAAAAACAUAAUAAAAAAGACCCUUCCAUGAUCACAAAUGAGUGCCCCCCUCCAUGUGUUUUUAGAUUUUAGAACUGAGAGGGAAGACUGUUUCUCCUUGGGGAAAUGGGUAAUGCCAUUUACAGCUUCUGUAUUCUGGUUUUGCCUUGGUUUUUCUAUGGAUACAUAGUAUUUGCAUUAGUGGUGUAUAAGGUUAACCUUUAGUCCGUAGGGUUUUGAAUUUCAUAGAAUCACAGCAGUUCUACAGAAGUCGUCAACUUCAUGCAGAGGACUUCGGCUCAAGAAGUGACCCUGUGACAUCAGCGAGUGGUCAUUUGACCAGAAAUUGACUUUGGGUAUUGUGCCUUUGGGAAUGGCUUGGACUUUGGGUUGUUUUCAUUUUCUGUAACAUAUGCUUUUGUGCUUACUCAAGAAAUCUUUAAAAAUUGUGUACCCAUGGGGGCAUGUCAACAUGCAUGUGUGCUGUAUUUGUAUUCCACAGGGUGGAAGGCCCUGUCUCAGGCUCAUUGGUCUCUCUAGCAGGCCUCUUUUCUCUCAGACCUUCCCACAGCCUUCUAUUUUCUAUGUCACUGAGUUUCCUGGCCAUAGCUACUUGGUUUGGCAUACUUUUCAUCUUAUCCUAGUUGAGCCAGUAAUACUUGUGCCAUAGUUUGGGACUAGACCCGCAAGAAUGAGUGAGAGCUUGCAAAGGUUCACUAGUAACCUUUUACUGCAGAGAAUGUAAAAAGAUACACUGUUGGGACUUCCCCAGCAGUCCAGUGGUUAAGACUCCAUGCUUCCAAUAUAUGGGGGAGGGGUUCAAUCCCUGGUGGGGGAACUAAGAUCCCACAUGCUGCAUGGCAUGGCCAAAAAAAAAAAAAAGACAUACUGCUGAGUUUCCGUGAGCUAGCCUCAUUUCUGUGUCUUUAAAAUGUAUUUGUUGCUUAAAUUUCUUGUAUUUUGUUAAAUACUUGUGUUCUGCCAAUAAAAUUCAUUUGCUUCAGAAGA